ACGAAAAGAGAAGAAGCAGUCAAGGGUUUGUUCGGCGUUUUCUUAGGUGGAGUUGCGCAGAGGUGGUGGCAGUAAAAACUUUAUUUGACCAAGCGAAUUUCAAGCUGUAUUGUUGUGCUGCAUGCGACCUCCGACUCUGGCGCAGCUCUCGCCGACUCUGGUUCGACCUCCCGACUCCUAGACGCCGUGCAGCUCUCGUGCGUGUUGCACCGUCCUCGGACCUCAUCGAUCGAUUCCCAACUUUUGAUCUCCUUGUGUGCUUUGGUCAUCCUGUCCGGAGCGAGCAUAUCCUGUGGAAUUCUUGCCCUUGCUGGUCACCGCCUCAUCUUCGACCGGCACAGUGCCUGCACACAGUUCAGACCCGUUGUGGAAAGGAAUGCCCCUUUCAGUGGAGUAUGGUAAUUUUGCCCUGCCCGUCAGCCUGUUGAGGGGAGGGCAGGCACGUGGCAUGUUGCAAGGUUCACGUCCAUGCUGUGCGGCGUUGCCACCAUCAAAACGACGACAGCGCACCGCAGGCGAUGGCAAACGAAACGCCAUAUAAGCAUUUUUUUUACGAUUUUAUUUGUAACACUUGUGAGUAGUACACAUAAAAAACAGCUUCACAAUAAUUUUAAGCAUUUAUAAGCAAAAUUAGUGCGAAUGAGUGGAAGAUUGGAAAGUGACCCACUUAAGCUACUGCGUGAACCUGACAACAAACAGUCACGCCGCACUGCUCGUGAAAGGCAGGCGGGUACGUUGAUAUUAUUUACAGGAAGUUUGCCGAAUACUGUCAACGAGGUGUUACGACAUCUUCAUCUACAGAAGUGCAGGAACGUUGUUUCCUUUUACGAGCAAGCUGUAUUCGACUCUCUAAAUCCUUAUGGGCAUACCAAGUUGAGCAUUAACUACGGAAACCAAUUUGGUUUGGCUUUAAUACUAACUUAUUUGUCAUCGAGACAUUUAUUUGGCCAUUUAGGAUCCUCUCUAUGAGUUUGUCCAUGUUAGAAGUUAGCGAGAUGGGUCUCAUAUUUUCUAUGCUAAAACCUAAUCUUUGCUUUUUUAGUAAUGGAAUUACCUUAGCUAUUUUCAAGUCAUAGGUAUCCAGGUGUUCUUUAAAGAGUAGUUUAUAAGAUUGAGGACGUCACCGGGCGAUAGUUUGAAAAAAAUUUUAACCAUAGGAACUGUGAUUCUAUCGGGACCAGGAGCUGAUGAGGAUAAAUGUCGAAUCAAUUUUGAUGCUUCAGACAGGGUUACGUUUUAAGAGUCGGUGUUUAUGCUAGACUUUUGCCAGUUGAAAGCCAUAGUCGAAGAAAACCUAAUGUCUAGACAUCUGCCAAUUGAAACUAAAGAAUUUGUCGUUUUUUCCAAUGAUAGCCUUUCAUAAUCAGUAUUUACUGUAUACGGCAGGAUUUUGCGAGAUCACAUAUACCGAAAUAAAGCUUUCUCAUUUUUAAGUUUCGAAA